UCUUUCUAUAUUAUACUUUACUUAUUGUUGGAUAAGUUGCUAGAUGAUUAAUCAAUUUAUUAAGAAUAACUCUAUGAAUUCUCUAUAUGCUUGAUUGAGAGCUUUUAUCCAUGGCAUUAUUGUUUAUUGAUCAUAGAUAUGAAAAUGUGUACUUGGUAUGCCUUUGAAUAUUGCACUAUAAAUACCAAGAUUAAAGGAACCANN
rnacentral:lncRNA from 1 species